rfam:Schistosoma haematobium scaffold429_7, whole genome shotgun sequence.
GCACUGCUGAGGAGUCCCAUACUAAGACGAAACGGCCUUCCAGUGC